rnacentral:lncRNA from 1 species
CUCUCAGUUAACUCGGUAAUCCACAUGCAAAGUCCAGCCCUUAGGGACACUGUCCGGGGGUUUGUAACAGUCUUUGAGAGUCUUUGGUCCUAUAACCUAAAGACUGGAUUACACUCACCUGUUUGAGAUUUUUGAAUGAAAAAUACAAUAGAGAUACAUGAUGCCAUUUUCACAUGUUUUUUUUUUAUGAGAAGAUAUAAACACAAGAGUAAAAAUGAUGAACAGAAUUCCUCCUGUCAAUUGGAUAUAUAUCAAAGAAGCUGUAUAGGGUCAACUGACCUCUUCAAAGUGGGCGAGACAAAAGUCGGUGCUGCUACAUCGGCAGCAGGGUUUCCAAGUUUGAUUCUUUCCCCUAAACUGGGAUGGUAUAAAGCAGUCCCCAGCCACCUGGGUAGGAGACAGCCCACCCUUUGGGUUUGUGUAAGUCAUUUGGGGCCAUUUUAAUGGCAAAACGUCAUGAGUUUUUCAAAUUGUUCAAAUCAGGAUACUUUUGAGGGUGAAAGGAAGUACUGUUAAUAAUUAUGUAAGGACAAUAGGCAUAAAUACAGCUAGUCCUGAGAAAACAGGGGUGUGUGGUCACCCUACUCAUAUAGAAAAAUGAGGUCAGAUUUGUAAGGAAUGU